AACAAGGCGUACCUGCGGACCUGCGGAAGGAUCAUUACCGAGUUUACAACUCCCAAACCCCUGUGAACAUACCUAUACGUUGCCUCGGCGGAUCAGCCCGCGCCCUGUAAAAAGGGACGGCCCGCCCGAGGACCCUAAACUCUGUUUUUAGUGGAACUUCUGAGUAAAACAAACAAAUAAAUCAAAACUUUCAGCAACGGAUCU
rnacentral:misc_RNA from 1 species